AAGCCAUGAUGUGGGCAUUUCUUCAAAAGCUCUCUGAAUCGUUCUCACGCUUCAAACAGAGAUUCAAACUCAUAUUGUUGAAAGUUAGAAAUCUUUGUCAUAAGCUU